UACGUAGGGGGCAAGCGUUGUCCGGAAUUAUUGGGCGUAAAGAGCGUGUAGGCGGUCCGGUAAGUCGGCUGUGAAAGUCCAGGGCUCAACCCUGGGAUGCCGGUCGAUACUGCCGGACUAGAGUUCGGAAGAGGCGAGUGGAAUUCCCGGUGUAGCGGUGAAAUGCGCAGAUAUCGGGAGGAACACCUAUGGCGAAGGCAGCUCGCUGGGACGUUACUGACGCUGAGGAGCGAAAGCGUGGGGAGCGAACAGG
rnacentral:rRNA from 1 species